rnacentral:rRNA from 1 species
ACGAACGCUGGCGGCGUGCUUAACACAUGCAAGUCGAACGGUGAAGCGCCUUCCUUUUUGGUGGGUGUGGAUGAGUGGCGAACGGGUGAGUAACACGUGAGUAACCUGCCCCCUUCUUCUGGAUAACCGCAUGAAAGUGUGGCUAAUACGGGAUAUUCUGGGUCUGUCGCAUGAUGGGUCUGGGAAAGAUAUUGUUUCGGUGGGGGAUGGGCUCGCGGCCUAUCAGCUUGUUGGUGGGGUGAUGGCCUACCAAGGCGGCGACGGGUAGCCGGCCUGAGAGGGUGGACGGUCACACUGGGACUGAGACACGGCCCAGACUCCUACGGGAGGCAGCAGUGGGGAAUAUUGCACAAUGGGCGCAAGCCUGAUGCAGCGACGCCGCGUGAGGGAUGGAGGCCUUCGGGUUGUGAACCUCUUUCGCCAGUGAAGCAGGCCUGCCUCGUUUGUGGGUGGGUUGACGGUAGCUGGAUAAGAAGCGCCGGCUAACUACGUG